AUUAUGAAAGGGAAUGAAGGGUGCCUGGAAACUGUAGUGGAAGUGACUGUAUUCUUCUGCUCUUUGAUUUGCAUAAUCCGAUAUUCUCAUCAAAGCACAUCUCUCAUUACCUUCUAAUGUACAGCUUUGCAAAUUGUUUGUGAAAAUUGGUCGGGAUCAAUUGUAUAUGGGAUUUUAAGUUGUCCGGCUUAUCUUUUGGCCAUUGGCUUCUAUACCUUUACUCUAGUAUCCGCUAAUGUAUUUUCUUUUUGGCGCGAUAAUAAUUUGGUUGUGUAUCUCAUUAUGUUUCCUUAUGUGCAUAAGUUACAGGCAAGGAAAUAGAGCAUGUGAGUUCGAGGACUUACCUAAUUUUUCCCUUUAGACUCUAAAAGAUUCAAAUUUUCAUUUAUUUUGUUACGUUUUUACUUGGUAAUUGAUGAUAACAGAGCCUGUUUACGAAGGGAUUUAUCUCGACUUUGAUAUGAUUCUUUUAUGGAUGAGCAAGAUCAUAGAGUAGCAUGUCAACUUCUAUCAGUUCAUGUGUUUUGGGAGAGAACCAUCAUUUAUAUGGGGACCUCCCUCACGCUUGCACUUCUUACAAUGUUACGUACAAUUAGUUCUCUUACUAGAACUAUGCAGAAUCAAUGGAGAUCCUACGAUUAUUGAGUGCGUACUAGAUUGAAAUUUGUGAAGUUAGACAGAGUUGAGAGAUAUUUGAAUUAUUAUUUACUAAGGAGGUGUCUCCAUUUCUGAUGCUAAUUGAAUUCUUCAGCACCCCAUUUCUUAUUUAAAUGACGUGUUAGGUAAUUGGUUAACAUGACUAAAACAUGUCAUAUUUUCUGAGUGCCUUGCUAAUUAAUUCUUUCCUAUCCAGGCCAAAUGAGCAUGUAAAAGGUCUUCAUUGGGAAGUUUUCUCUAGAUUUUUUUUUUUUUUUUUUUAUUGGGGCAAAUGCUGUUCGUUAAGUCAAAUAUGUAGCCUUGCCUUAUCCCAUGCCCUUGUCUUUUCAUAUUUUAAGACUAUGGAUGUCAAAAUGCUGGCUGCUGCUCACUGAGGAACCUUGAAUUGGCGAGGAGAAAAAACUUAAGUAGGAUUUAUAAUUCAAGUUCUAGGUGUGCACUGAAGAUUUUAUGACAUGUAGCGACACAAUCUGUUCUCUCAUUAUUUCAUCUAUUUUAUCUCUUUUGGCAAAUUAAUUGUUAUCAUAUUUCAGGCAGAAUUACUUGAUCCGGCUGUGAAGGGAACUCUUAAUGUCCUGAAGUCAUGUUCCAAAGCACCUUCUGUGCAGCGUGUGGUCUUGACAUCAUCUAUCGCUGCAGUUGUAUACAAUGGACAACCACGGACACCUGAAGUUGUGGUGGAUGAAAGUUGGUUUUCUGAUCCAGACUUGUGCAGGCAAACCAAUGUAUGCAUCUUGUCCAGUUUAAUCUUGUUGUCUCAUGUAUUAUAUCUACUGGUGCUGAGAUGAUCAACAUGAGUGAAAUCUAAAAAUGCACUGUUAACCACUCCUCUCAAAGUGAUCUCUGCCAUUUUGUAUUUCUUGUUAUUGACACAAACUAGCUGGCUGGUUGGUGGAGUUGUUCCAUUUCAAUCUCAGUGGUUAUCAUAACGGCAUCAAUUUUGGAGUGGCUUUCUUUUCCGUCAUGAAUGCAUUAUAUCUCUCUAAUUUUUGCCCCCUUGUAGGCAUGGUAUUUGCUUUCCAAGACUUUGGCUGAGGACGCUGCCUGGAAAUUUGUGAAAGAAAAGGGCAUUGACAUGGUUACAAUUAACCCAGCUAUGGUGAUUGGUCCUCUUUUGCAGCCAACACUUAACACAAGCGCUGCGGCGAUCGGAAAUUUGAUAAAUGGUAAUUCAGUAGCUACCAUUCUCCAGAUAACAGAGUUUCGUGUUUCCAUUGCAUCGAUAAUGCAUGAUUGCAUUGACAAACAGUUCUCUGCCCUAACUAACAAGGAAGCUCGCACCACUAUUCUGUUUCUUUACCAUCCUAAUUCAGUUUUACCCAUUCUAAAUUACUAUUUGAGAGGAGGAAAUAUGAAUAUUUACUUUUCCAACUUCUUAACAUAUGUCUGACCAAAAAAAAAUAAAAAUAUCUUCUUAACAUAUGAUGAUUAUAUAAUUGUACAAAUUUACCCAUUCAGCUGGGGCUUUGUCGGUAUCUCUCCUUUUUGGUAAGGUUUUCGUCUCAUUUCUUUGUUUGAUUUUGAUUACUUCUGUGAUUUUUCCUUGGGAGAAAGCAGAAAGGAUAGGUGUACCGUCACCCAGUUCAUUGCCGUCAAUUUUCUCCUUGUGUUUUCACCAUACAGUAGCCAUCCUUGUUAUAUGCAGCCUACUUUUUUUUUUUUUUUUGAAAGUUUUGUCGUAUCCCUUCUAACCAAGAGUAUUUUAAUUUGAUAUCCAUUCUGCUUGUGAUUCCAACUCAGGUGCACCAACUUUUCCAAAUGCAAGUUUUGGAUGGGUCAAUGUCAAAGACGUUGCAAAUGCUCAUAUACUGGCAUUUGAGGUCCCAUCAGCCAGCGGAAGAUAUUGUUUAGUUGAGAGAAUUGCACACUGCUCCGAGAUCGUGAGGAUCUUACGCGAGCUUUACCCUUCUGUCCAGCUUCCAGAAAAGUAAGUGGUUAGACCAUAACCUGUACAUGUAUAGUGACCUGUAGAGUAUCAUGGUUUUCCUAUUAUCGUGUGAAGGUAGACAAGUUUUUCAUGGGAAAUACUAUUGGUAUAAAUCAUAUGCUGCUGAUUUACAAGAUUUUUUUUUUUUAAUUAUUAUUUUUUUCUAACUUUCAUUUCUGGUGGUAGGAAACUUUUGGAGUUAGAAUCUCAUAUACAAGUUCCUAGGUCUACUGUCUCAUUUUUCCCAUGAUGUCUAUCUUGCGUCUGUUUGCUUCCAGCGGAGAUUGCUGAUUCUGCUUGAAAUUCACUUCGUAGGUCCGCGGACGACAAGCCUUUUGUGCCGAUCUAUCAGGUGUCCAAGGAGAAAGUGAAAAGCUUGGGGAUCGACUGCAUUCCUCUGAAUCAGAGUUUGAAGGAGACUGUUGAAAGCCUGAAGGAGAAGGGUUUUGUUAAGUUAUGAUAGAAAAUUUUCCCAAUUCAGAAAUGUAAUAGGGAGGCUUAUCACCCUACUGCCUGUUCGUUCCCAUGAAGUGUGUUUGCACACAAACAUUGGUGAAGGCAGGAAACCAUAGAUUUUCCUGCUCCUCUGUACUAGUCUUCAUUAUAAAACGAGGAGUGCCGUCGCUGUGUUCUUGCUCGAUCGUUGAAUUAGGAUGGACCGAGUGUUUAGGUCCACGGCCAGUGGUUUGCGUGAAGGGCGUCCGCAAUUAUCCCUUCGCGAAAUUUACGUUCUCCUCCGUAUCAAAACUUUCUAGAACGUCCAAGUUUAGACCCUCUAAUAAUCAAUUACAUCCUAUUUAGGAUCAACACUAUAAAAAAUUCCUAAUCAGAUAGCAAAAACUCUCAAAUUGAUAUACUCAUGCCACAUUUUGUAAGACGCGAAAGCGUAACCCAAGAUCUCCAUAGUUGGAAACAAGAACACAUAUGUAAUCAUAUCGACAGAUUUACACACCUGAUUUAGACAACCGUUCUUAAUGCGGAAUAACGGCGAUCCAAACUCAAGAACUUCUCCUCUACUGCUUUAUUUAUCAUUGGCUCAAUAAGACGGCUCUCUCACCCUUUAGCAUUAGGUAAAUAUUCUCAAGAUAAUUGUGAGAAUUAAGGUUAGAGGAGAGAGCUUUAACUAAGCCUGCGUUCGUUUCACGGAAAAUGGACCAUCUCCAGAAAAUAUUUUCCCAGAAGUCAUUUUCCAGGAAAAUGGCUAUAUUUUCCGGUGUUCGGCUGAAACUUAAAUUUUGAGUGGAAAACAUUUUCCACCAUUCGUUAACUAAUUUAAUUGUUUAGAAAAAAUUAUCAAAAAAUUGAAUUUUAAUAUUUUUAAUUGACCAAAAAUAUUUGUAUUUUUAAAAAAUACAAUUUUUUAUUAUCUUCCAUCGUUCAUUUAUUUUUUCUUUCUUUUUCUUUUUAUUUUCCUUCUCCUUCCUCCUCCUUCCUCCUUCCUCCGCCGCCGCACGCCUAACGAUGGCUGACUGCCCGGCGGCCGACCAAGAUCCGGUCGCCAGAUCCGGCGAGCUCGAGGCUUGGCUGAUCUCGCCCGAGCUCGCUAGAGGUUCGUCAGGCUCUGGCGAGCUCAGGCGAGGCCCGAGCCCCGCCCAGCUAGCCGGAUUUGGUGAGGCCAGAGCUCCGCCCCAAGCCGGCGAGGCUCCGCCUCGCUCGAUCUGGCGAGACCCGAGCUCGCCGAGCUCGGGCGAGCUGGGCUUCACAGAUCGGGCUAGGCAGAGCCUCGUCGACCGCGGUCGCCAGUCGCCGACCGCUGUUGGGGCCGACCACCGGCCAAGCUAAGGAAGAAAGAUGAAAAGGAAAGAAAGCAAAAAAAAAGAUAUAAGGUAGAAGAAGUUAUGGAAAAUGUUUUCCACUUUUCAGAAGUGGAAAACAUUUUCCUUAUCUUUGAAGGUAGUUUUUACUAUUGAUGGAAAACAUUUUCCUUAAGUAGUUGAUUUUCCGUGAAAUGAACAUCGGAAAAUCCGGAAAACAUUUUCCUGGAAAUCAUUUUCCGUGAAACGAACGCAGUCUAAGUCCUCUCAUUACGAGCUAGGUACAACUUGGCUCACAUUAGCCAAUCACAUAUUAAACUAAUUAAGAAACCCGAAAGCGCAACCCAAGAUCUUCAUAACUAGAAACAAGAACACAUAUGUAGAUAUAUUAAUUAGGACUGUCAUUCUUGAUGUGGAAUAGCAACAAUCCAAACUCAAUAACUUCUCCUUUAUUACUCUGUGUAUCAGUAGUUCAAUGAGAUGGCCUUCUUACUCUUUAGCACUAAGUAAAUGCGCAAUUGUGAGAAUUAGGGUUAGAUGAGAAAUUUGAGCACUAUUUAUAGAGUUUGCUCUCUUAUUACGGGCCAUGUACAACUCGGCCUACAUUAGCCAGUCUUAUAUUAGACUAAUUAAAAAACAUUUUAUCUUACCUUAGAUCAACCCCAUAAAAUGAUAAAUUACAAUAUCAAUUAAUGUAGCCCAUACUAGGAAAACUCUUAUAUUCUUUCACUUGGACUAUAUUAAUUGAAAUUAUACUAUAUGUGCACACAUUGAUCUAAAGAUAAUUCUUAAUAAUCAAUCAUAUCUCAUAAAGUCUCAAACAUCAAAUCAUGGCGGUAAUUGCAUAUAUGCAUACAGAGCCUUCCAUGGUCAUGAGUGCUUUUAAUUUUAUUGAUAUUGAUUCAAUAUGAUAGUGUGACAGAUUGAUAACAACUCUCAAAGAGAGAUAUCCCAUUUGUUAGUCACCAUUCUCUUACCUUAAGUGUCACAUAAACCUAUGUCACUAGAGAAUGCUUUUAUGGUUAACAUUUUUUUUUAUGUAUAACAAUACAUAUGCUCAAUGCUAAUAACCAAAUGCCCCUAACCUUCACUCAUAAUUUAUACAAUACCUUGAGACUUUUAUUAAUAAGUAAUCAACAUAAUGACAACACAUUCAAAAAUAUUUUAUUAAAUGCAAAAGUUGAUAUAUAUUAAACCGUUACUAAGUGUAACAAACACAAAUAUAAACUUUAUUUUAGUAAAAUCGAAACAGGUACGACUAAAUAAUGGCAUUUCAUAAUGCUCAUAAGCCCAUAUAAUGACAUGCCAUUCAAAAACAGAAGAGCGAAAUCCUUUAAUUAGUGGAUUUGCAACCAUAUCAUCUAUGGAAAUAUGUUUUAUUAUAAUGUCACAAUUUUGUAACGUUUCUUUAUAAUCAAUAAUUUGACCGCCAUUUUUACUAAAAAAAAUAAUAAUUUGACCGCCAUAUAUUUAGAUCAUUUGAGACCUCUAUUGAUAAUAAACAACACUACAAAGUUAUUGUCUCAAUACAAUUUUAUGGAUUUAUCCAUAAAGUUAAAUACGAUCAACUCUUUAAUGAGUUUCCGGAGCCUAAUAGCCUGAGUAAUAGCCUAAAAACAUGAUACAAACUCCGUUUACAUGGUAGAAUAUGACAUAGCUUUCUAUUUACUGCACUUCCUACUAACAUAAAUAUGUAUUCCGUUAUUGAUUUCAUAUCAUCCUAGUAGCCAGCAAAAUUUACAUCCAAAUACCCUGCUAACUACAAAACUUAAACAUGCUGCAUGACUUGAACAUCUCUGUAAAUUGGCAUAUAGUCUUUUAUCCCAUUUUUUAAAUACCUCCACAAAAAAAAAAAAUUAUUGGCAGUAACCCAAUAAUUGUAUCCUAGAUUUAACUAAUAUCUACUACAAGUUCUGUUNNNNNNNNNNNNNNNNNNNNNNNNNNNNNNNNNNNNNNNNNNNNNNNNNNNNNNNNNNNNNNNNNNNNNNNNNNNNNNNNNNNNNNNNNNNNNNNNNNNNGAUAUUUUCAAGUACACUGACACAAGGUAUACAUUUUAAUUGGAUUUUCUCAAUAUCUAAAUAAAUACAAUGUAACAAAUUCGAUCUAUCACCCUUUAAUGACAAAAGCAAUUUCUAAUUGCAAUGAUGUAUAUUGAAUAUCUGCAAAAUAUGAUAAGCAAAUGUCCUCUGAUAUGAACCCAAUAUAUGUCAAGAACGAUCUUUAUGAACCUCAGUGCAAAGGACAAAAGAUACUUAAGGUCCUCCAUGUCAAUUUUUUUUUUUUUUGAUAAUAUCUACUUUAUCUCAAACAGUAAUUCAAGAUCACUACUUACAAGUAAAAUAUCAUGUACAUAAAGUUAAGAAAAAUAAAUUUCCUCCCACUGAUCUUACAGUAUAUAUAUACGAAAUUACUUUGUUCUCAACUUUACGAAGUGACAGCACUAUGAAACUUAAUAAUAUUGUUCAAUAUACUGAAUUAUUUUAUUUUCAACUGAACGAAGUGACAACACUAUAAAUAAAAAUAUUGUCUGAAAACUUAAGACCAUAAAUAAGAAUUUUCAAUCUAUGCACAAGUUUACCUGAAUCAUCUACUGCAAAACCUUCCGGUUGCACUAUACAAAUUUCAUUAUCAAUAUGUCCAUUUGGAAAGAUAGUUUACAUUUGGCGUAACUCCAUAUCAAAAUGAGCAGCAAAAGAACAGCCCAAGUGCCAUAACUUGGCACGGGAGAACACUUAAGUGCCAUAACUUCANNNNNNNNNNNNNNNNNNNNNNNNNNNNNNNNNNNNNNNNNNNNNNNNNNNNNNNNNNNNNNNNNNNNNNNNNNNNNNNNNNNNNNNNNNNNNNNNNNNNGGCACUCUAGGUGUCCCAACCUCCAAAUGAGCUAUUAAAUUUCAUGGUCACUCUAAAAUAAUCUUUUGAAGAGAUUGGAAAAAAGAUAUUUCUUUAUAGUCCACCCCUAUUUAAGGGUGAAAAACUUUGGUUACCAGUUUGGCUUUAAAUUCCAUAAUCUUUCUUUGAAAUCCUUUUUAAUUUUGUACACAUAUUUGCAACUAAUGAGCUUGUGACCUUUAGGCAAGUUAAUAAGUUCCCAAUAAUAUUUCACAGAGUUCAUAUAGUUUUUUAUGGCAUCUAAUCACAUAUCCGAUUGUGGAUAAGAAACAAUAUUUGUAUAAAUCACUAGAUCAACCAUGCAAUAAAUAUCGUAGUCAUACUCUCACAUAUGGACUAUGUAGUCUAGUAAUAUAACUGAUCGCAUUUCCCUAACAGAUCUCCUGAAUAGAGUUACGGCCACUUUAUUCUACACCUGAAAGACUUGAAAAACUUCAUUAGAAAUUGUCUCAAUAAUAGUAUCUUGAACCUCAAUAAGCUUAGUCUGUGAUAUAAGAGAUUCCACAAUUGUCUAUAUAGGCAAAGACAAAGACAUAGUGAUCUCCACCGUACUAUCAUUCUUAAUAGUCUAAGAGCAUCUAUUAUCUGUAGCCACAUCGAACUUUAGAAAUUUAGUUGUCUAUGAUUCCAUAAAUUGUACUUUCAUUAAGGUCAUAAAAUCGAUACCCCUUUGAACAAUUUAAGUAAGACAUGAAAUAAUUAUGAGUGGAUCUAAAUUCCAACAUACUUAAUAUUAGAUUAUAUAAUCUCACUUCUAAGGGACACCCCUAAAUUUUAAUAUGAUUCAAGUUAGAUUUACGUCCAGUCCAAAACUCAAAAGGAGUUAAUGAAACAACUUUGGUAAGAAACAUGUUUUUGUAUGUGAAAAUGUUGUUUUCAAAAUAUCAGCCCACAAAAGACCGACUAAAUUAGUCUUAUUAAUUAUACUUAUUACUAUGUUCAUAAUGGUGCUAUUAUACCUUUCAGCAAAAUCAUUUUAUUCAAGAUUUUCAAGCAAAGCAUAUUAAGUUAUCACCCCAAAAUCUACAAAGUAUUUGACAAAUGAUCCUUAAAACUAUUCAGCAUUACUCUACUUAUCAAAAUACCAUCACGGUUAGGUCUGACAACCUUUAAGACUUAUUCUAACUAUUUUUCAAUUUUAGUCCGAAUUUUUUUUAAAUUUAUCUAAAAGUUCAGACUUUUCCUUCAUCAAGUACAGAAGAAAUAGUCAUCAAUGACUUUGUUGAAAUAAAAUUUCUGCAUAAUGUUAAAGAUUCUAUUGUAAGGCCCAGACUAUUAAAACAACCGGUGGUUUCAUGAGUUCUUUUAUAAGUAUGAUUUUUAAACUUCAAAUCUACCAUCUUUACAACAUAAUCUCUAAUCUCAUUAAAAUAAUCAUACCUUAUGUUAAAGAGUUUUUGCAGAUGUGUCCUAAUCUUUAUUAGACAUGAUAUAAUUUCAAACCAUUAAGGCUUUCAUCAUCCUUUAGUACUGCAAUCAGUUGGUAAACCACUUUUUAAGCGUUCUUAAAUGGAAAAUAACAGGUAAAUCCAAUUACUUUUACCCAAACAAAAAAUCUUAUUUCCACUAUUUAGGUUUAAACCAGUAAAAACCUCAACAAUAAUUGAGUUAUUAAUUACAAAUAAGGUGACUAAAAUAACAAUUAAUGUAUAUAAUUAGCAUUAUGUGAGUACUAUGUAACUUGAAGACACAUAAAUACAUAUCUAGAGAGUUAUAUGCAUUAUUAUAUAAUAUCAUUUGGGCAUAAUACAUAACAUGUAGUUGUAUACUCUCCACAUGACAGUGGCAAUGAGAAUAUAUUCCAAUCUUCAUGAAUUCAUUACCUUGGGGUAUAUGAACCACUAGAAUUGGUCACUCAUCCACCAUUCUAUCAUGUAUCCUUUCAUAAACUGAUACACAAUCAUCUCCUUUGAGAGUAUGAUCAUGCAUUAAAACAGGAUACAUCACUUCAUUAUAUGAGAUCGAUAUUUCUCAAGCCCAAUUAAGUGUGCCAUUUUAACGGUCACAACUCAAUUAAAUUCUUGAAACUCUCUCAUACCGGGAUAUAAACUUUACUUCUCAUAUACAUUAUAUACAUGUGAUUUUAAUUUUAGUAACAAUGGCAAUUAAUCACUAAAAUUACAUAUCAUGCUAAUUAUAUUACUUUAUUCAUUGAUACUAAUUAAACUUUAUAUAUUAUAAUCACAUGUAUAUAAUGUAAUGACAUUUGUGAAUCAACACCUAUAUUUCCAAAAUCAUAAAAAAAAAUACAAGAAAAUAUACAAAAGUACCCUAAAAUAACCCAAAAAGCACGCGCAUUUAGGAUUUUGUACAUAUUUUUACAUUCAUAAAAUUAUAAAAAAACAAAAAUAAAAAUAUCACCAUGUAGAGCAUCUUCAUACGAGCACAGAGACUUUAAAAAUGUGCUUGUAUGCGCUUUUGGAAUGUGUGGUGCGUGUUGCGCACACGUUGGCCACCUGGACCAAUCUAACCAACAAUUUGACUGAUUCAACCGGUCACUUUCUAGUCCAAUCGGCCGAUCAAUGGACGGUCCGACCAAUUGACAGAAUCGGGCAGGUCAACGGGUUGGAUUUGGGUUUGGUCAACAUAUCAGAUCGGAUCAGGUCAACGGCCAAGUCGGGUCUAGCUCUGUGAGUUACUAACGUCAGUGUGACAUCAGCUCUCGUGCAUGUGACACGCAUGAGCAGCACCCCACGCGUUAGAGUGCGUGAGGGUGCGUGACCACGUAUGGGUCGCAUGCUCAACACCUUGGUGGUGUGCGACUACACGUGGGGGAGCGUGCGGCCACCCCUGGCAGCUUGCUAGCCAUGGUUUUACUCAUCCAAAUGAGCCCAUUCCAAAUUUAUUAUUAAAUUUUAUUUUUAUUGAACAAAAAAAAUCACGAAAAUCACGAAAAAAGCAUGCAUUUAAGUUCUAGGUUAUGGAGGCCACCAUUCCAAUAUGAAAGGCAAAAAUGGGGGUUCAAAUCCCCACAUUUUCAAGGGGGUUGAAUUAAGGUGGGGACGAUUUAGUUUCAGUGUGGGUUUCGACUCCCACUCCUUAUAAGGAGGCGGACAAAAGUCUCAGAGUGAGAGUUAGAGUAGGAGUGGAGUAGGACCGACAAAAAAAAAAAAAAAACUCUAAAGUUAGAAACAAGAACACAUAUGUAAUCACGUAGACAGAUUUACACAUUUGAUUAUUUGGACCACCGUUUUUUAUGCGGAAUAGCGAUGAUCCAAAGUCAAGAACUAAUCAUCUAUUGUCAUAUGUAUCACUGACUCAAUAAGACGAUCCAUUCACCCUUUAAUGUUAGGUAAACGCUUCUUCGUGAGAAUAAUUGUGAGAAUUAUGAUUAGAGAAAAAAUUUGAACAUUAUUCAUAGAGUUUCUAACUAAACCAUCUCAUUACAGCUAGGCACGACUUGGCUCGCACUAGUCAACUUCAAAUUAAACUAAUUAAGUAACAUUCUAUCUCACUUUAGACCAACUCUGUAAAACGGUAAAUUAUAAUAUCAAUUAAUAUGACCCACACUAGAAAAACUCUUACACAUUUAUCCCAAAUUGAAAUGACGGCGUCGUUUUCACUCCCCAAUUGUGGUAAAUUUGAGAUUUUAGGAGGGUCAAUAUGGCAUAAAUAUACUGAUACGAAAUUUUUGGUAAUGUGAACCCUUUUUAUUUAUAUGAAGAAGCUCCAAUGGAUUUUGCUUUUGCUUUUUGGUGAUUUCAUUUAAUUCAACCAAGUUUUUUUUUCUUCCUUUUUUUUAUGUGAUGACAAGAUUACUUAAGCAUCAAUAUAAUUCAAAACGAUCCAAUAUAUAUAUAUAUAUAUAUAUAUAUAUAUAUAUUUGAUUUUUUGAGCCAAUGGUCUAUAGCAAUGAGAUCGUCACAAUUACUUCGAGAUUAGCAUACGGACGAUAUCUCUCCGUUGAUUAUUCUUAUUUAGUCACUGAAUUGAUGAAAGUAGUAAGUCUGCUAGAAGAGAGGAGACGUACGGCUUGGUCACUCCAAAAUGAUUUACGUUACUGAUGACCUAAAGCUCGGCUUAAAUUCCGUCAGCUGACAUGUCACCCUGACAAUGAAACCUCCCUUUAAAGCAAUAUAAAAAUACUUAUUAUAAAAAUAAUCAUUAUGAAAGAAUGAUGCUGACAUAUGGAUUAGAUGGAAUGAGCAACAAGCAAGAGUCUUUCGGUCUUCUUUUGAGGUCCCACGCCAAUAAAGAUAUUUGUUCUGCGAAUAUUAAAUAGUCUAAAUAUUUUUUUAUAUUACUUUAAAAAAAUAAUAUUUUUAUAAUUCACGAAAAUAUUUAAAUAUGAAUUAUUAUUGAUAAGGAAAAUAUUUUUUAUUAGCUAAUUAUUCCAAGUGAUAUAAGUGACUAUUAUAUAAAAAAUGGUUAAUACCCUGAAAAACCCCAAACUGGUACACUUAUGACAAAUUUACCCCAAACUAUUUUUUUUACCAUGAAAAUCCCAAAACUGGUACACCUGUGACAAAUUUACCCCGACUGACCAUAAAAAACCCUAUAUUUGUAUAUUUAUGACAAAUUUACCCCAAACUAAUUUAUUCGACCGCAAAAAACCCCAAACUGAUAAAUUUGUGACAAAUAUACCCUUCCCUAAAUUUGAUUAAUAUCAUAAAAAAAUCAUAAAAAUUGUAAACUCUGACAAAUGGAUCAUAAAAUCCCAAAUUGGUAUACUAGUCAAUUGUCACGUGUCAUUUAACUUAAUAAUUUGAUAAUAAAAUUUAACGAAAACUAGCAGAGGGUAAAUUUGUCACAAGUGUACAAGUUUGGGGUAAAUUUGUCAAACGUAUACCAGUUUGAGGUUUUUGCUGAUCAAAAAAAUAGUUUGGGGUAAAUUUGUCACAAGUGUACCACUUUGGGGUUUUUCAAGGUAUUAACCCUAUAAAAAAAUAAUUUUUAAAUUAUUUAUUUUUUGUAAAAUAAAUGGAACCUAAAAUUCAUAUCCUCAUCCAUGUAUAACUUAAUAGAUAAUUGAAGAGUCCUCAAGGCAGUUACACACAGAAAAAAAAAAACCACAUGUUUUUUGUUGAGCUAUUUGACAAGUGUCCGAUCACUUGUUUUUUUUUUUUUUUUUUGACUUAUCCAAUCACUUGUUUAGUUUGAGCAUUAUUAGUGUAUUUUUUUUUUUAUGUGUUUGGUUCAAUUUUCGCAUUAUAAAAAAUUUGACAAAUUUAUGCUCUAUUAGUUUCCAUCUAAUAUUCUUGUUAAAUACACAUGUGGCAAGUGACUCAUUUGACGUGGAUCCAAUAUGAAAAUUCAGCUUUUUAAACAAAGUCAUAAUGUACUGGAAUUGGGACUUAGGGGAAAAUCAAACCUGUUCAUUCUCUUCCAAAUCACCAAAAUCUUGAGGGAAAAUUAAGGAUUUCAGCAAGAUUGCUAAUUGGGAGGAAGCUCUUGUCCAGAAACGAAACUACUGGAGAUGGCAAGAAUGGAGUGGAGUUGUUGUCCCCUGUCUAUCGAGAUGGUACUCGAUAGAGUCAAGGUGAUGGAGAAUCUGUGAGGCUUCGUAAAUUGCAAAGAGAGACGUCGCCAACAAUCUGAAUACUUGCCCUGAGACGGCCGAAAUUUCACGACUCCUUCCGAGACCUUCUCAUCCUCGCAAGUCUAGGCUAGAGGGCUUGAAUUUCUAGGGCAACGUCCUUUGUAAAAAAACCAUUUAUGCUGAAUCUCCAUAUCGGAUUCACAUCACAAAAAUUAUUGGCCGCGUGUAUUUCCAUGUCAUCAAUUUAACGAGAUAUUGGACUGAAGGUAGCGAAGUGUAAAUUUCUCACCAUGUACUAGUUUUAUGUAAUUUCAGGAUUUUCCACGACAUGAAAAUCAAUUAUAGCUAAAUGAGUUGUGGAUAUGAUAGUUUGGAAUUUUUGUCAUGCCAUUGAAUGAGGCCUCACUUUUGGUAGACUAUGGACCACAUCCACAUCGUACAACAACUUUUCAUUACUAUAUAAACGUUGACCAUGAACCACAUUAUACAACAAUACAUAUCGAGUGACGUUAAGAUUGGCCGACAUUGGGCAAGCAAGAACGUCGUCCAUCUCAACUUUUCGAUUAUUCUUUAUUUAGUUACUCAAUUGACGAAAGUGGUGACUGCUAGAAGAGGGGCGGCGGCGUGCGGCUUGGCCACUCCAAAAUGAUUUACCUUACUGAUGACGUAAACCCGGGUUUAAAUUCCAUCAGGCGACGCGUCACCCCGACACUUAAACCCCCCUUCAAAGCAAUAUAAAAAUGCUUAUUACAAUUAUAAAAAUAAUACCUUGACGUUCCGUUAGCAUCCGACGGCUGGAAUUCCGCCACGUGGCGUCGGGUCGUGGGGCGGCAUCGACGUGCGUCAGCGUUUUUCAAGAGGAUAUCGAAGCCCCGACCACUAUAAAAGAGUGCUCCUGCGGGCUCGACAGCCGCAUCUGCAGCAGAGCGAGAGAGGCACCUCCUCGAAACGAAGAAGAAGAAGAAGAAGGACGAAGGAGACGAAGGCGAGAAUGAGCGCGGCGGGCGGUGCCGGGAAGGUCGUGUGCGUGACCGGGGCGUCCGGUUACAUCGCCUCGUGGCUCGUCAAGCUCCUCCUGCAGCGCGGCUACACCGUCAAGGCCUCCGUCCGCGAUCCGAGUCCGUUCCUCGAUCCCCUCUCGUUUCCGCUUUCCGUUGGAGUCGAGUCUUGCUUCGAUGCGUGCCUUUUGGUGGUGAUCGGCCGUUGGUUGUCCCCGAUCGGCCGGUUUUGCUUCCCGACGGUCUUUGAUUCUCUCUCGUGUCGUGUGUGUCCCGUCCGUGUGACGCGGCCUAUUUCGUCGUCAUCUCGCGUAAUCCUAUGCCGUAGAUGAAUGUUUCGUGCGUACGCAGUUUCGGACUGGUGGCCGAGUGAAGUAGCUUAUGUUUUGGCUGGAUUGGUUUGAGGUAAUCGAGGUUUUAACAGCUGAGUGGGGUUUAACUGAAACUGGGGGUGUAGUGCUUUUUUCCCGACGGCGUGCCUUGUAGAAAGGUUUUCUUUUUGCUUCUUUUUCGAGCAUUUCUGGAGCAUAGAGGAGUCAUCUCGUGAGAUUAUUGAUUACCAGAUGAUGGUGGUUAGAGGUAUAAUCGAUCUGGAUAAACCUCUUUUUGUCCUUUUGGCCUAAAUGCGAGGUUAUUCUUUUAGAACUGGAGUAGUUGUGCCUUAGUUAGGUAGGCAAGGAAAAAAUGAAAGAGAACGUUCGGGAAUCUUCUAAAAGGUUACGAGAUAUUGGGUUUGUUUUCUCGGUAUUGUUACAUGAGGUUUCCAAAUUUCUAUUACAGUGCCAUGCUUUAAAUCAUUUGCUCUUGUCUCUCCUACAGAUGAUCCAAAAAAGACAUGAAAAUGCCUUCAUUCAAACUUUUGUUGAAGAGCCGUGAUGUUGUUUGACUCGAGCUGUUCCAGUUUAGUGGAAGAGUUAUGGUCAUUGAAUAUUCCGGUUUUCCUUAUCUCCAAACAACUGAUUUACAGUGUUUGCUCUUGUCUCUCCUACAGAUGAUCCAAAAAAGACUGAACAUUUGCUUGGACUUGAUGGAGCGAAAGAUAGACUUCAACUGUUCAAAGCAAACCUGCUGGAAGAGGGUUCAUUUGAUCCUAUUGUUGAGGGUUGUGCAGGCGUUUUUCACACUGCCUCUCCCUUUUAUCAUGAUGUCAAGGAUCCGCAGGUUUGGUUCCAGAAUUCAUACGCUAGUCAUUGCAGAGUAGUUCUUUUUUCUAUUUUCCAUUAAUCCUUUUUUGCCACCUUUUAUUUAUUGAAGCCAACCAGCAUGUGUCAUGUUUAUCCUGAGAGAGUCGGAAUUUAUUCAAUAUUAACCAUAACCAAGUUCAUUAACUUCAUCACCCCCGUUUUGUUUUGUUAUACUAUAGCUUUGCCUUUUUCAAUUAUGAAAGGAAAUGAAGGGUGCCUGGAAACUGUAGUGGAAGUGACUGUAUUCUUCUGCUCUUUGAUUUGCAUAAUCCGAUAUUCUCAUCUAAGCACAUCUCUCAUUACCUUCUAAUGUACAGCUUAGCAAAUUGUUUGUGAAAAUUUGUCGGGAUCAACUGUAUAUGGGAUUUUAAGUUGUCUGGCUUAUCUUUUGGUCAUUCGCUUCUAUACCUUUACUCUAGUAUCCGCUAAUGUAUUCUCUUUUUGGU
rnacentral:lncRNA from 1 species